GGAAUACAGUAGGGAAUCUCGCCCAGGUCGGUGGGGGUAAUAACGUAGUAGGAAACGUACGACUAAUACCGUAUGCCGUCCCGUACGGGAAGUCGGGGACCGCAAGGCCUGACGCGAUUGGAUGAGCCCAUGUUCGAUUAGCUAGUUGGCGGGGUAACGGCCCACCAAGGCGACGAUCGAUAGCUGGUCUGAGAGGAUGAUCAGCCACACUGGAACUGAGACACGGUCCAGACUCCUACGGGAGGCAGCAGUAGGGAAUAUUGGACAAUGGGCGCAAGCCUGAUCCAGCCAUGCCGCGUGAGUGAAGAAGGCCCUCGGGUUGUAAAGCUCUUUUGUUGGGGAAGAAAAGCAGUUGGUUAAUACCCGAUUGUUCUGACGGUACCCAAAGAAUAAGCACCGGCUAACUUCGUG
rnacentral:rRNA from 1 species